GGUAGUGUGGCCAAGUGAUCUAAGGUGUUGGCUCUGUACUCUGGGAGCCAGGGUUCAAAUCCCUGCUCAACCA